rnacentral:ncRNA from 2 species
CUCUUAUCACGAGUGGCAGAGGGACUGGCCCGAUGACGCCCAGCAACCGUUCUAUUAGAAUUGGUGCUAAUUCCUGCAAAACAGAAAUGUUUUGAAAGAUGAGAG